GCUGGAGACCAAAACCAGUUGGAAAUUUGGAAUGAAGAAUUCUCCCUCGUUGAAUUUGGCAUCCCUGAGGGAGAAAUCACCACAUCCUGGUGAACUGGAGCAGAACCCCGUUGCAGUGAGUUGCAAGUCUCCUCUGGCUGGUCUUUGUCCCUGAAGCCCACACUGAUGGGAGCAUCCAGGAGAUAAGAAAAUGGUGAAUUAUGUUUCGCAUCAUCUAUGGCUGGAAUUUCAGUGCUGCAGGGUCAGUUUUAAAUUAUCCCUGGAGGGUUG
rnacentral:lncRNA from 1 species